rnacentral:sRNA from 1 species
GGCCGUCGUCCGAUUGUUUGACGUUUGACAGGGGCUAGAUGUAAAUAAACGGUGGAGCGGCUGCAAAAGAGCCGCUCCACUGGGUAAAAUCUGAUUGUGCCGCGGAACCCGCUCCUCGGUUGGUCAACUUUGGAGACGCGGGCAACGCAGGUACAGACGUCUUAAGGGGCCGGGUGCAACCGGCCC